AUUGAACGCUGGCGGCAUGCUUUACACAUGCAAGUCGAACGGUAACAGGCCGCAAGGUGCUGACGAGUGGCGAACGGGUGAGUAAUGCAUCGGAACGUGCCCAGUCGUGGGGGAUAACGCAGCGAAAGCUGUGCUAAUACCGCAUACGAUCUGUGGAUGAAAGCGGGGGACCUUCGGGCCUCGCGCGAUUGGAGCGGCCGAUGUCAGAUUAGGUAGUUGGUGGGGUAAAGGCUCACCAAGCCGACGAUCUGUAGCUGGUCUGAGAGGACGACCAGCCCCACUGGGACUGCGACACGGCCCAGACUCCUACGGGAGGCAGCAGUGGGGAAUUUUGGACAAUGGGCGCAAGCCUGAUCCAGCAAUGCCGCGUGCAGGAAGAAGGCCUUCGGGUUGUAAACUGCUUUUGUACGGAGCGAAAAGGCUCCCUCUAAUACAGGGGGCUCAUGACGGUACCGUAAGAAUAAGCACCGGCUAACUACGUGCCAGCAGCCGCCGUAAGAC
rnacentral:rRNA from 1 species